rnacentral:rRNA from 1 species
CCUACGGGGGGCAGCAGUGGGGAAUAUUGGACAAUGGGGGGAACCCUGAUCCAGCCAUGCCGCGUGUGUGAAGAAGGCCCUCGGGUUGUAAAGCACUUUCAGUGAGGAAGAACGCCUGGUGGUUAAUACCCAUCAGGAAAGACAUCACUCACAGAAGAAGCACCGGCUAACUCCGUGCCAGCAGCCGCGGUAAUACGGAGGGUGCGAGCGUUAAUCGGAAUUACUGGGCGUAAAGCGCGCGUAGGUGGCUUGAUAAGCCGGUUGUGAAAGCCCCGGGCUCAACCUGGGAACGGCAUCCGGAACUGUCAAGCUAGAGUGCAGGAGAGGAAGGUAGAAUUCCCGGUGUAGCGGUGAAAUGCGUAGAGAUCGGGAGGAAUACCAGUGGCGAAGGCAGCCUUCUGGACUGACACUGACACUGAGGUGCGAAAGCGUGGGUAGCAAACAGGAUUAGAUACCCGGGUAGUC